rnacentral:misc_RNA from 1 species
AGCACAAAUGAAGAAAAGACCAGACCGCAAGCAGAAGUGAGGGGCAGUGGAAUAAGAGAUCAAAACUGUAGCUUGGGACUGAAAAUCCUUUGUCAGGACGAUUCGCAUUUCUGAUUUACCGAGUUAGGAAUCCAACAUUGAACAAGAGAUGAAUUCCUCCAAGUGCAUGGAUAAGCAAAUUACUAACCUUUCGAAAACCCCGAUUCGCACUUUCUUAGACGACGAAGAUGAUGUUGAUGAAGAAGAAGAACAAGAAGUAGACCAUCAAGAUCAGGGCUUCGAUUUCUACCCGAUUCGCUCCUUACAUUCCCGUGCAAAAGCUUUUGAUGGGAUCCACCUCAGUGGUUGGAAUUCGAUGGGCCAACAUUCUACAAAAUUCUCUGGUGAGAAAGUUGGGAUUUUCGGCGAUGUAGAAUUGAUUUCCAGGAUUGAUCAAAAGUUGAAGGAACAUGCUGAUGUUUUGCUACACUUAGUGGAGUGUCUCAGUGCACGACUAUCUCAGAUGGAAAGUAGAACACGGCAAGUAGAAAAUACCUUUGAUGAUUUGAAGGAAUCAAUUGAAUUUAAUCAUGGAAGAACCGACAGAAAGCUAAGGGAGUUAGAGAAUAUUCUAAUAGAGGUCCAUGGUGGGAUCAAAGAUUUGAGGGAUAAACAAGAGAUAGCAGAGACUCAGCUGCGGUUGGCAAAGCUUCGUAUGUCCAAGGAUGACUCACAACUGGAAAAGCAAAACAACACUAUUCAUUCUAGUUUGGGAACAGAGGCACUGUCUUCAGUCUCUCAGCAAUCAAACCAACAACUUCCAGUCCCAGUUGCUUGUCCACAACAAGUUCCUUCUUUGUAUUCUAAUAUUAAAAAUUUACCUCUUCAGAAUCAACCUCUGACAAAACCUGCAGCUGCAGCGCAACAGUUUCCCACACCUGCAGCAUCUCACCUUCCGACAAUUUCAGCAACUGCACCACUUCCCUCGCAAUUUGUCCCCUCUGUUCCACAGCAAGAAACUUACUACCCACCACUUCCAGUUUCCACUCCAGGAACCAGUCAUCAAAAAUAUGUAAUUCCAACUCAGCAAUCACAUCCACCUUAUAGUCACCGGCCUUAUCAACCACCACGUCAUCUUCCCCUAAAUUCACACUUGUCUCAGUUGCCUCAAGUGCAGUCAUCUUUCACUGUGGUAAAUCCUCAAUUCCGAAGCCACCAUCCUGAAGAAGUUCCUUUUGUGCCAUCUCAAGCCAUUCACAGAUCCUCUCAACCACAUGAUAGGCCUCUCUCUCCCCAGUUAUUUAAUAUUGGUUCUACUGAUCAACCCACAAACUUGCAUCAUUCAGAGUGUACUUCUGCAAAUCCACCACCACAGGGGUACACUAAUAUUGUGGACUUUAAUCGUUAUAAUACUCCUACCCACAAUUGCAGUUCAACUAUGAAAUCCAUUCAACCCUCACCAUCUCCUUCAGUCAGCACUGGUGAAAUUGGUUUCUCACAUUUGCCGACUGCCCGCAUAUUACCACAUGCUAUUCCAACUGCCUCUAGCGUGGACAGUGGAUCAAGCUCUGGUGAGGGUGGAAACAGGAUGCCUGUUGAUGAUGUUGUUGACAAGGUUGUUGCUAUGGGAUUUCGAAGAGACUUGGUGAGAGCAACAGUGAGAAAAUUGACAGAGAAUGGCCAAUCAGUGGACCUGAAUAUUGUUCUGGAUAAGUUGAUGAACAGUGGGUAAUUUCAGAAUGUUGGAUGAUGCAUUGGGGUAUUAUGUUAUCUUAAGAUGCUUUAUUUUCUAUAUUUUGUAUAUAAUAGUGAACUGGUAAUUUAUGAAUCGACAUUCCUCUAUUGAGAGGUUUUACACCAUUUCAUGUUGGUUGCAUUGUAAUUUAGAUGUUGUGCCUGGAACUGAUUUGUUCUUUUGUUUGUGAAUGUAAAUAUUGGUUACCUUGCCUAUUCACAUCUUUCUUUAUAUGCAUUAU